AUGGUGGUAAGGUUUGGCUACGUGGAGAAAGAGGAGCGCAUUGAGAACGUGCAUGGAAUAGAAUUUACCAGCAGGGAGUGCCUGCAGGGCACCAUCUGAAACAGCCAGGAGGCGGAGGUGUCCUGCCCUUUCAUUGACAGCACCUACUCAUGCCCUGGCAAACUGCUGGAGAGAGAGAUCCGGGAGCUCCUGUCCCCUGAGGACUACCAGCGUUUCCUGGACCUGGGUGUGCCCAUCACAGAGAACCGAAGCACCUUGAGCUACCACUGCAAGACCCCCGACUGCAGGGGCUGGUGCUUCUUUGAGGAUGAUGUCAACGAGUUCACCUGUCCUGUGUGCACCCGUGUCAACUGUCUGCUCUGCAAGGCCAUCCAUGAGCUCAUGAAUUGCAGGGAGUACCAAGACGACUUGACCCUGCGGGCUCAGAAUGAUGUGGCUGCCCGGCAGACGACAGAGAUGCUGAAAGGUGAUACUGCAGCAAGGCGAGGCCAUGCACUGCCCACAGUGCCGGAUUGUGGUGCAGAAGAAGGAUGGCUGUGACUGGACCCGCUGUACAGACUACCACACUGAGAUCUGCUGGGUCACCAAGGGCCCACGCUGGGGCCCUGGGUGCCCAGGGGAUACCAGUGGUGGCUGCCGCUGCCGGGUCAAUGGGAUUCCAUGCCACCCAAGCUGUCAAAACUGCCACUAAGUCGAUGAUGGUGGCUCUCAUACUGACCCAGCCCCACAUGUAUAGCAGUGAACAGCAGGGCUAGGCCAGGGACUUUAGCUCUGG